rnacentral:lncRNA from 1 species
GCCUUUCCAAGACAACUCGUUCCUCAAGAGCGCUUGGUGGAGGGCUAUAUUCGAGAUACCAAAUGCAAUGAUUUGGUCAUUAAAGAGAAACUCGAGCGCCUAUGUAAGACAAAUUAAAUUUAUUAAUGUGUGAUAAUUGUUUAUAUGGAACCAAGAAAAGAACGCUUUGGCGUGAAUUACUUUGUAGCUACACACUUGAAAGGAGUGUAGAAUUCGACGAACACAAAAUUUUCAAACAAUUUUAUAAGAAAUUGUUCAUUUGAUAUUUUUUGCAUUAUUUUAAUGUUGCAUUCUCCAGGCAAAACUACUACUGUGAAAACCAGAUAUACAGUCAUGUCGAAAGAAAUCUUAGAAGAAUACCCUGAACUCGCUACAGAAGGCUCUCCAACAAUUAAACAAAGACUUGAAAUAACGAAUGCUGCGGUAGUCGAGAUGGCAAAGGAAGCAAGCAUCAUUUGCCU